CGUUGCUCGCAGAUCUAGCUGCUUUGCUCCAUGACCGCAGCACAGCGAAGACCUUUCGUGUCCCCGAGCCCCACUCCCGGGUCUCCAGGGUGCACAGGAGCGGUUUGUGUCCCUGUCGCCAGCCCUCCGCAGGGUCACUCUGUCGUCAGGAACCGGGAGAGAACACACAUCCCGCGAAGUCAGCUUUUCCAGAGCCUUCCCGGCGGCCUGCACUUCGCAGUGAGUGAGUCUUGGACUGGUGCUUUCUUAUUUCAAAGCUGGGCACAGUGCACACCUGCUGUAGCGGAGCCCAGCUCUCCAGGCUCCCAGUACAAUGUGUCUAGUCAUGGAAGGCCGACCUUCUGAAGGCGGCACGCUGUGGGGACCGAGUGGCCCGAGGUGCUCCCCCACCAGCUGAAGGAGAGGGGCGCUGAGCAACGCUGCCCUUGGGAAGAUCACGACACACGGGCCUGGACUGUCACCACUGACCCUGGGGCGGGAGGAACAGGUGAGGCGCACAGAUGACAACAGAUACUGCGCUGUCCAUGAA